AUCCAGAUGACGCGUCUUAAGUAGGAUGAAACGCGCGUCCUGGAU
rfam:Schistosoma mattheei strain Denwood, Zambia genome assembly, scaffold: SMTD_scaffold0005065